CAGAGUAUAGCGCAGCCUGGUAGCGUGUUCGCUUUGGGAGCGAGAGGCCGCAGGUUCGAAUCCUGCUACUCUGA
rnacentral:tRNA from 1 species